GAUCCGCUAGCUCAGCAGGUAGAGCAUUACACUUUUAAUGUAAGGGUCCUGGGUUCGAGCCCCAGGCGGAUCA
rnacentral:tRNA from 1 species